rnacentral:rRNA from 1 species
AUGAGUACUUGCUUCGCCGAUAUAAUAAAAGAUCAUUCCCUGGAUUUCCUUGGUAUCCAGGAAACUAAGAAGAAGAAUUUCACCCCUAAACUCCUUAGAAAAAUUGACCCUCUUGAUAAGUUCAAUUGGAACUGGAUCCCUUCGAUUGGUAAGUCUGGAGGCAUAUUGUGUGGGACUAGGAGAGAAACCUUGGAGAUUAUUUCCUGGUCGGGGGGUGAAUUCCUUAUGCAGAUUAUUGUCUUUGACGUGAACCUCAAAUGUGUGUGGACCCUAGUGGUGGUAUAUGGGGCAGCCCAUAAAGAGAGAAAAAAGUAUUUCUUCGCAGAAUUGGCUACGACAUGUGCCACGAUUAGUAAUCCUUAUGUGGUUGGUGGUGAUUUUAAUAUCUUACGUGAAAGUGGUGACAAGAAUAAAAAAUUAACCUACUCCCAAUAUACAGAUAGCUUCAACGCUAUCAUUCAGUCCCUGAACCUUAGAGAGAUUCAUAUGAGAGGGGGAAAAUACACCUGGUCCAAUAAGCAAAAACACCCUACGCUGGAGAAACUGGACAGAAUCCUUAUGAACCCUACUUGGGAAGAUUUAUUUCCUAUGGUUACAGUUCGUAAGUUGGUACGAGAUGUCUCAGACCACAACUCGUUGUUGCUGUCGACGAAC